AUGGCACUGUUCAGAAUUCUGCAUGCAGUUUGGAGCUCGUGGAUAUGCUGUGCAAAUGGUGUUUUUUUGUGUUUAAUGAUUUUUUGUAUAAAAGUUAAAGGUGGCUUUAUAAAAGUGAAGAAAAACUCCUCUGUGGUACACUUGUUAAAUAGAAACAAAAACAUGUCAAAGAAGCUCGCCGGGCCAUCGCUGACUCCCCAAGUAGUACAUUUCCGUACUGUCAGCACCGGCUACAACAACGCUCCUAUUUUUGUCGUUCACUUUUUUGUUUACAUAUUGAAGGACAUCUGUGUUGAUUGCAAAAGUUGCCCACUUUGGCAAAACAGCUGGAAAAAAGAAAAUUGUAAUGCAAUGCACUUCGAGGGACUCCACGGUCCACUUCUCAUAAAAAGAAAAGAUGUUUCCCAAUUCAUGAAGUACGCUUUGGCUCUUUUCAAAUAA
rnacentral:rRNA from 1 species